rnacentral:ncRNA from 2 species
CUCUUAUCCAGAGACGCAGAGGGACCGGCCCUGUGAAGCGUCGGCAACCAGGCUUGUCAAUUAGUCCAUGGUGCCAAUUCCGGCAGAUUCUUUCUGGAAGAUGAGAG